rnacentral:rRNA from 1 species
UACGGGGGGGCAAGCGUUGUUCGGAAUUACUGGGCGUAAAGGGCUCGUAGGCGGCCAACUAAGUCAGACGUGAAAUCCCCAGGCUUAACCUGGGAACUGCGUCUGAUACUGGAUGGCUUGAAUUCGGGAGAGGGAUGCAGAAUUCCAGGUGUAGCGGUGAAAUGCGUAGAUAUCUGGAGGAAUACCGGUGGCGAAGGCGGCAUCCUGGACCGACAUUGACGCUGAGGCGCGAAAGCUAGGGGAGCGAACGGG